AACAUCUGCACAUGGGACAUUCUCCCCUUAACUGUCAACUUCUGUGUCAGCUUUAUAAGAGUCAACACUAAAUGAAACCAAGCUCCAUUAACUCUAGAGGGAAAUCAUAUUGCAGCCUGCAUUUACAAAAAUAAAACAGAAACGACACAUAAGGAAACUACAUGAAACAGAAAAGAAAUGAGUGAGAUUAACAGAAUGGAAAUGGGUGUGCUGAUCACCUCUCUGCUUCUGCUUGGCAUUGUAUUUGGUGAGAAGGACCAAAUUAACCACAUGUUUAGCAGAGGACUUCAAAUUAUUGUGGAAGUUCCACGUGUUAUUGUUGAUCAUCCGGUGACUCCAAAGGUGCACCUUCUUCUACCUGUCAGAGUUCAGAGGAAGCCCUCUGCGACAGUCACACUUGCAUGUGUCAUCACUGGAUUACAGUCCAAAGCAGUAAAGAUCACAUGGAUAGUAAAUGGAGAAACAGGCUCCAAAAAGCACGCCAGCACACCACAGGUGCAAAGGGAGCCUGGAGGUACAUUCACUGCUGUGGGACUGUUCUCAGUUCUGUCUCAUAAAUGGAGUCGUGAGAAUAUGUAUGAGUGUAAGGUAACAUACAGAGGAGCCUUUUACUAUGAUAAGGCACAGCCCUCUCUCUGCAGUCCUCCUGAAGUAUUUUAAUUUUUUCCUGGGCUAGAGCCUUUCUGAUUCACUCUAUUAUGUGUAUGAUACAGCCCUGUAAGUAAGAUGAAACAUUGUGUUUUUCAUCUUAUAAUGCUAAACUUUGUUAUAUAGUAAGUGCUGUGCCUUCCAUUUUUAAAGUAUGGUAUUUUUAUUUUUGGCUGCACCUUCUCUUUUGUUGGAUGAUUUUCUGCUUUUAUAUGUAUUAUACAAACAAGAGAUAACUGCUUAUUAUUAAGUAAAACUUGAGCUUAAUCUUCCACCUUGAAAAACAUGUGAUAGUAAAUAAACUGUUCACAAAAUAAAAAUGUACUUUACUACAUGGGCUAAAUCUUCCUAAAUGUAAAACAUGUCACAGUAGCAGAACCACAAAAUUAAAAUGUAAUCUGUAAUGUAACUUAUUAUAAUUUUAGUUUAUUUAUUUAUUAUUUUUAGAUUUGAAUGCAAAGUUGAAGUGCUGUUAUUAAAACUAAAGUUCCACAAGGGGGAGCUCGAGGUUUAAUUUAAACCUGUUUACAGGUCUUUAUAAAAGGUCACGAGGAGGGCAGUAUGUAGAGACACACUUCCUUCUUUCAGAAACAUUUUGUACUUGCUCCUCUCAUUUCUUGUUUUUAACAUCUUCAGGCAAAAAAGUACUGAACACUAACCUUCUCUGCUGACUCCAAUUACAAUAAUGUUCUUAAAGGAAUAUUCCGGGUUCAAUACAUGUUAAGAC